rnacentral:lncRNA from 1 species
UAAUUGCUUUAUAAGUAUCAAGAAAAGUAGAGAUUAUCAGAAAAAUAAUCAAGAUUACGAGACACAACAAGAAGAAAAAAGCAAGGACAAUGUCGAUCACAUCGACGUGCUGGUCUGAAGAACGCUCAAAAACACUUAUUAAGAACCUCAUUAUAAACCAUACAAUUACACUACCAAACAUAGCCAUUGCGGAUUGCCAUAUGCUUCUCUUCACAUAAUAUACUCGGUUGUGAACCCAGUUUAUCUUCUCCAUAGUUGCCGGUGACCCUGUCAUUUACGACACAAGAAAAACUCUUCAAGAACUCAAUUCAACAUUAAAAUAUUAAAAGAUCAAGAACUCAAAUCUUGAACCCCAAAGCAAAAAAUAAAGUUUGGCUACAAACAAUAAAUUAAAAGGUUUUAAUUACAUAAUCACUAUGAUUAACUCAAGAACUCAAGUUUAUGAAAUGUAAAAGGAUAAGAUAGAUUUGGUAAACAGUUAGAAAAGUUUUAAAUAAUUACAAUAGUUAAGGCACAGAGUCGCUGCUUACCGGGCUGUUCUUCCAUGAAAUCUCAAGUUUUCUGGGGAAGAUUAUGGAGAAGAGAAAAGAAAGAGAAAUAUAUAUAUGAUUUUAGGGUUUGUAUUAAUUCUGAGAAACUUUUGCUAUAAAAGGUGGAAUGACAAUUCUUGUUACGUUAAUUUGAUUAGACU